GGCGGACGGGUGAGUAAUGCAUAGGAAUUUGCCUUGAAGUGGGGGAUAGCCCGGAGAAAUCCGGAUUAAUACCGCAUGUGCUCUACGGAGCAAAGUGGACCUCUGAUUUAAGUUCACGCUUUGAGAUAAGCCUAUGUCGGAUUAGCUAGUUGGUAGGGUAAAAGCCUACCAAGGCGACGAUCCGUAGCUGGUUUGAGAGGAUGAUCAGCCACACUGGGACUGAGACACGACCCAGACUCCUACGGGAGGCAGCAGUGGGGAAUAUUGGACAAUGGGCGCAAGCCUGAUCCAGCAAUGCCGCGUGUGUGAAGAAGGCCUGCGGGUUGUAAAGCACUUUUAUCGGGAAAGAAAAUCACAGGGUUAAUACCCCUGUGCCUUGACGGUACCCGAAGAAUAAGCACCGGCUAACUCAGUGCCAGCAGCCGCGGUAAUACUGAGGGUGCAAGCGUUAAUCGGAAUUACUGGGCGUAAAGCGAGUGUAGGCGGCUCCGUAAGUCGGAUGUGAAAGCCCCGGGCUUAACCUGGGAAUUGCAUUCGAUACUGCGCGGCUAGAG
rnacentral:rRNA from 1 species